GACGAACGCUGGCGGCGUGCUUAACACAUGCAAGUCGAACGGAAAGGCCCUGCUUUUGUGGGGUGCUCGAGUGGCGAACGGGUGAGUAACACGUGAGUAACCUGCCCUUGACUUUGGGAUAACUUCAGGAAACUGGGGCUAAUACCGGAUAGGAGCUCCUGCUGCAUGGUGGGGGUUGGAAAGUUUCGGCGGUUGGGGAUGGACUCGCGGCUUAUCAGCUUGUUGGUGGGGUAGUGGCUUACCAAGGCUUUGACGGGUAGCCGGCCUGAGAGGGUGGCCGGACACCUUGGGCCUGCGGUACGGCCCAGACCCCUACGGGAGGCAACAGGGGGGAAUAUUGCCCCAUGGGCGGAAGCCUGAUGCAACCACCCCGCGUGCGGGAUGACGGCCUUCCGGUUGUAAACCGCUUUCGCCUGUGACGAAGCGUGAGUGACGGUAAUGGGUAAAGAAGCACCGGCUAACUACGUG
rnacentral:rRNA from 1 species